rnacentral:lncRNA from 1 species
GGCUGAGAUGCCAAGUAUGUUAAACCUCUGAAAAGAAAUGAUAUAAAAACUUGUCUGGAAUGUGAUGAUUUCACCAACCCGUAGGAUAGUCUGUGCUCAGCUGCAGAUGUAGAAAUCUGUGCUUUAUGACAAAACACUGAUGUGACUGUGGGCCAAGUUCACACCGUGUGAGGGAGCACAGGACCGAUUUCAGCAGAUGGAGUUUCUACAAGGCAAAUCUAUUCCCUGGAGAUGCAAAAAGAUGUGCUCAGAAGACAGUUUAGUGAGAAGGGGCUGGAAAGGUAGGAACCUUUACUACCACCCUCUGAACAUCAUUUAUCAUCAUGUCAUGGUGAAGCCAUUACCCACCCAGACACCAUGGCCAUCCUGGUGCCUUACCACUUUGAAGCAGCUGACCCACAUGGAGAUCUACAUCGUAUCACCCAAAACAGCAGCCAAAAUUUCACAUUUAUUCAAGCAAUGCAGCAUAUUAGUGUGAAGUACAGUCUCACUGCCAAACAACUGUGAGAAUUUUUAAAUUCAAGUAGAAUAAAAUGUGAAAGAUAACCA